AUCAGCAUUCAGCCAACUGUAUUAGACUAAUGCAGAUCUGCCAAACAGCGCCUUAAUUGCUUCUCCUAAAUAAUAUCUCAAUUUUUUAAAUCCCGAUUCAUUUCUACAACAUUUUUUUAUCAAUUUCUGAAGACUCAAACAAUUUUUAUAAAUUCUUGAUAAUUUAAAUUUUGGAACUGGUUUCUUCCAUCAGCUGCAAAGUCCAAACAAUGGAAAAAGACGAGGAGGAUGAUGUUAUGGAGGAAGUGCGAAUUCUACGCGAAAAAAUCAAUAAAGAAUGCCCUAAUUCAAUUGGAUGGAGACUGGUUUCACUUUUGGGGUGUAUGAAGGAGCUUGAGAAACUAGAAUUAGAUUUCCAGUCCCAAUGUAGUUCAGACUGUACAAGAUUGCAGAAGGAGGUUGAUGAACUUGAUAAGAUGUUGAAUAGUGGUGCAAAUUAUGAAGAUUCUGAUGCAUUUCACCAUUCUUUUCAAGACUCCAGUGAGAGACUUGAGUCAGUGAAGAAGGUUAGACGUAAAGCCUUUCCGCCUACCACAAGUAAUAGAUGGAUAUUUCACGAGCAAUGCUUCAGCAUAUUUCAUGAGCAAUACUUUAGCAUAUUUCUUGUCUUUGGUGAGAGAUUUUACUUGUUAUUUUGCCCACUCUAAACUGGGUGAUCUUUUAGCUUUGAGCCUGAACUUGCCACAAAACUAAGAGCGAUUGUGUCACUAAAGCAGCAGCUUGAUGAAGUACCAUCACAGGCUGAACUAAUACAGUACCCUCCUAAGCAUCUCUUUCUGCCACUCCUGAAAUUAACCCCACCCCACAAAAUUUUUUUUGAACUUCUGAUUAAUGAUUCAGAAAACGCUCCGACAAACACGGAAGCACUAUGAUACAUAUAAUUCUUUGUUGGAGAUUAAAGAUUUGAUGCUCAAGGAAACAUCCUUGUUGAAUUCAAUUAAUUUGCAGUUCGACAAUGCUAUUACUAGUGCUGAUGGAAGAAUAAAACUCACGAACUCCCUGGAAGGAAUUUUAAACGGGACUCAACAGAAACUUGAGAAGGUGCAAUUGACACAUGAAUUAGAACAAAAGUCUUGCAAUACUAUUAAAGAAAAGUACACCGCUGCAAUUUCAGAGCAAAGACGGAGCUCUUCUCUCGUGAAGCUUUUCCAGGUAUUAUAUUCCUCCGAAUUUUCACCUCCCAAACUAAGAGACCCUUGAUUAUAUCUAGUUCGUACCCUCUGCAUCUUAGAUUAUCAGAGUUCCCAAUAUUGUCGUAUAGUUCAAGAUCAGUUCGAAAAAAUUGGCAUAAGAUGCAUAUAGUGUUGUCCCAAGUGUGCUCACUUUACCUACUCAGUCAAAGAUAUAUACGCAGAUGAUCAAAAAACAUUAUCCAUAUCUCAUAAGCAAUUAGUCAAUGAUUCUUCUGUUUAGAUAACAUAGCAUGUUUUUAAUGUUCCCCAUUGCACUCUUUCUUGUGCUUUGAUGACUCUAAAGCAACUCUUUUGUCUUAUGUUGACCAGUUUCCUUUUUUUUUUCAACUAGCUUUGAUGUCAUAUUUAGAAUUCUCAACUUAGUUUUGGUCAGUGUUUAUGCUUAUGCUACACCUAUAUAUAUUUUCUGGAAGAAUGCGCAAGGAACGAAAGGCUUCGAUCUCAAAUGCAUGAACACAGGAUAUCAUAAAUCAUUUUCCUCUGUAUUUUCUUGUCUUUCAACUUAAGCACAUUUUCGAAUAUGAUCAGAUUUUGAUUUUAUAGUUUAACUAAGUGAUCUCUACAUUUCAAUAUUA